GAUGAACGCUGGCGGCGUGCCUAAUACAUGCCAGUCGAGCGAACAGAUGAGGAGCUUGCUCCUCUGACGUUAGCGGCGGACGGGUGAGUAACACGUGGAUAACCUACCUAUAAGACUGGGAUAACUACGGGAAACCGGAGCUAAUACCGGAUAAUAUAUUGAACCGCAUGGUUCAAUAGUGAAAGACGGUUUUGCUGUCACUUAUAGAUGGAUCCGCGCCGCAUUAGCUAGUUGGUAAGGUAACGGCUUACCAAGGCAACGAUGCGUAGCCGACCUGAGAGGGUGAUCGGCCACACUGGAACUGAGACACGGUCCAGACUCCUACGGGAGGCAGCAGUAGGGAAUCUUCCGCAAUGGGCGAAAGCCUGACGGAGCAACGCCGCGUGAGUGAUGAAGGUCUUCGGAUCGUAAAACUCUGUUAUUAGGGAAGAACAAAUGUGUAAGUAACUAUGCACGUCUUGACGGUACCUAAUCAGAAAGCCACGGCUAACUACGU
rnacentral:rRNA from 1 species